UGGGGUGACUGCGUACCUUUUGUAUAAUGGGUCAGCGACUUAUAUUCUGUAGCAAGGUUAACCGAAUAGGGGAGCCGGAGGGAAACCGAGUCUUAAUUGGGCGUUAAGUUGCAGGGUAUAGACCCGAAACCCGGUGAUCUAGCCAUGGGCAGGUUGAAGGUUGGGUAACACUAACUGGAGGACCGAACCGACUAAUGUUGAAAAAUUAGCGGAUGACCUGUGGCUGGGGGUGAAAGGCCAAUCAAACCGGGAGAUAGCUGGUUCUCCCCGAAAGCUAUUUAGGUAGCGCCUCGUGAAUUCAUCUCCGGGGGUAGAGCACUGUUUCGGCUAGGGGGCCAUCCCGGCUUACCAACCCGAUGCAAACUGCGAAUACCGGAGAAUGUUAUCACGGGAGACACACGGCGGGUGCUAACGUCCGUCGUGAAGAGGGAAACAACCCAGACCGCCAGCUAAGGUCCCAAAGUCAUGGUUAAGUGGGAAACGAUGUGGGAAGGCCCAGACAGCCAGGAUGUUGGCUUAGAAGCAGCCAUCAUUUAAAGAAAGCGUAAUAGCUCACUGGUCGAGUCGGCCUGCGCGGAAGAUGUAACGGGGCUAAACCAUGCACCGAAGCUGCGGCAGCGAACGUAUCACCCAAGACAACUUUACGGAGUUGACGAUUGACGGAGCGAAGCGACGUCAAAGCGUUCAUUAAAGUCGAGUUGGCUUAGGGAUACGUUCGUUGGGUAGGGGAGCGUUCUGUAAGCCUGUGAAGGUGUGUCGUGAGGCAUGCUGGAGGUAUCAGAAGUGCGAAUGCUGACAUAAGUA
rnacentral:rRNA from 1 species